UCAACAUGUCUGCCUGGCCCAAAAUUAUCUUAUGGUUUGUAUUUGCAGCCCAACACGUGUAGCCCAUUUUUGACAGCUAUCAACUCACCAUUUGAUUUUCUUAUUACAUCCGACACUUGUGAAAAGCUUCAUCUGCAAAGCCCUCUUCUUCAAACGCCUCUUCCCUUCAUAUAUCUGCUCCCUUGCUCUGCCCCUCUAUCUAUUGGAAUUUUCUACUGGGUAAUCUUCUUCUCAUCUUCUGUUUUUUGUAUUAAUUUGUUUCAAUCCUGAAUAAUAUGCUACGUAUUUGUGUUUUGCCCUGAAUAGUGAGGGAUUCCUGCAGACAAAGUAAAAUAUGUUACUAAUAAUUUUGUUCUCAAGGUGUUUGACAAAAUUCUUCUAUCAGGUUAGUAAAGAGAUGAACAUUGAGGGAUGAUGAAUGGAAAAGGCCGAAGUGAGGAAAACAGAGAGAUCUCAAUACUCUAUAAAUUUUGCUUUUCAUCUGAAUUUUUUUGGCUUUCUAGUUUUGUAGGAAUAAUAGGUUAUGAACAAAAAAAACAAACAUGUUUGCUUCGCAAAUCGGAAGUUGAGAUAAAAUUUAGGCGACAUGAAACGUACAGACUAAUAUCUGCUGAAAAAAAGGAAGUGUUGCUACUACAAUGACGAACAAAAAGGCAAGAGUCAAAAAAUAGUUGUCUUUCUGAGAAUGUUGCUUUUCCUAGCGCUACUGUAGCUACAAUUGAGUUUCAGCAACAAAAUGUUCUUCUUAGGGGCUCUUCUUUUGUUUCAAGAACAUGUUAGAACACAUCCUUUGUAAUUUUAUUUUUUUGUAGAAAUGUCUCUUCACACUCUUUGCAUGUGAGUAUAAUUAAAUGAUGCUAAGUGUGUGUUGUGUUUCCCCUAUUAGCCAACAAGGGUCACAUUGAUGCUUUACCAGUUACAUCUGAUAAGCAAAAGAGUAUAACUUAUCCCUUCUACUCCUUUGAAGUAGGCAAGUAUCGAGGAUGCAACGUUGACUUUUAGACAAUGUCUUUAUUUAUUGCUAAUUUAUUACUUUUUGGCAUUAGGCUCCACGUCACGUGAAUCUAAUGAAAGCAAUAGUAUGAGUUCAACAAUGGUUGGAAAAAAAGGUUUGCACCAAUCUUUUAUUAUGAUAGUGUUGUAUAUUACCUAAUUGGUAAUUUUAUGCUAAUGAUACCUAAAUAUACAUGUUAUAACUC